UUAAGAGCACAAGGCCUUGCCUUUCAGCUUUCCACAUUUCCCCAGGCAUAACCUAACAUUCCUCGCCUUUCAGCUGUGCUCAUCUUCUCCUGUCAGGAAGUAAAGAACAAUUAAUACAUAUGGCACAUAAAAAUGUUCACACCAACCCACUCAUUAUUUUUUGUGGCUACAUCUGCAGUGUGCUUAGUGCUUUCUAGACAUCCAAGCUGGAUCUGCCCCAACCAAGAACAUGAAUUGUAACAUAUCAUAAACCUGCUCAUUUUUGUCACACCACCUUUGGUUGGUCAAAGGGACAGUACUAUAGUUUAGCCUAAAAUCUGUUUCUGAGCCAAGUAAAGUUCAGAUUCAGAUCUGGCACUUUAAAUUCUUCCAAUCUCUGCUUCAGAGAUACUCACCAGUUGAGAGAGGAUGAGGAGUUAGGAUAGCAAUUGCUCCCGCUGGCUUUCUGCCAUCUUGAAUUAAAAAUCUUACACCUGGCUGCUCCACUCAGGAGCCCUCUAGACCAGGAGUGAAGAGCACUCUCCCUUUUCACACCAAACACAGCCUGUUCUGUGACCAAGAAGGAAGGUUUCAAACUCCCAUCCUACCUCCUUCCUUAAUUCCAUGUAGAAGAGCUCCUGCCUAAGAGUCCAUACUCUAAAGCUUUGAGCUGUUGUUAAGACAACAGAGCCAUACUGGGAUAAAUCUAAGGCCUCACUCUCUCUGGCUUCCAUUUUGGCCCCUUUUUAGUUCUGGAAUUCAUGGCAAUAUCGUUCUGAACUCAAAGACAUAGUGCAUGUAAUAACUCAUAUCUGUGGCUAUGUAACUGAAGGAAAAGAGACCCAGUCUAUGCAAUCUCAGUUUUGAAAAAAUGUAACCUAGAUAUAUGUUAAUAGUAUAGAUAUAGAUUAUUAUAGAUUAUAUCUAGAUUAUAUACAUUAUUAUAAUCUUUAUACUCUAGAUAUAUUUAAUGGAUUUUAAUAGAUUAUAAAAUUACACUGGACAUUUUUAUGAAAUCAAGUUUCUUUUGUCCCAGUCCUAAAAUAAAAGUUUGAACAGAUCCAGUAUCAAUAUUUUUCCUCUUGAUAAAAAAUGAUAUGUUUUAGAAAGCCAAAAUCUAUAAAAAAUUCACUAAGAUAUUACUUUCCAUGGAGUCAGAAAGUCUCAAGUUGAAACAGUAUUUACUAUCAUAACUGAAUUUUAAAUUAACUUCUUAGGAAAAAGAAGUAUAGAUAGAUGUGGUCUCAACAUGAAAUCAAUAGUUAAAGUAACAAUAGAUUAACAUCCAUUCACCAGAGAGCUGGAAUUGUGUCAAAGGGUUUGGUGACACCAUAAACCACAAAAGCACAAGCCAAUUUUCCUUUCCUAUGGCAAGAUUUUGAAUUUGCAGCUCAGCUGAAGUGUCUUUUGGUGAGCUAACAGAGCAAUAAACAUAGCAAUACAUCACUGUGUGCAUGUUUAGAUACCCACAUAAAAUAAUUUCGGAGAAGUCAGAGGAAUGCAGGUAGGUACUUUCCAAUGAAAUGAAUGAAGGUAACACUCUAAAUCAAAUUGUAAGUAUAUUAAAAUCAUGGUUAUUUUUACAUCAUUCCACUGAGAUAAUUUGUAAUGGUAAUGGUUUCCAGAAUGGGGCCCUGUAUUUUCAAAAUGCAGCAACAGUCCCUAAUUAUCAGACAUAUUUAAAGUCCAUGCAGACUAAAGAAGGUGAAGGUCACAUAUUAUGUUCAAAAUUUAGUGAUUGGGAAAUGAAUCCUUUGAAGAGGCAGAAAUGAUUCUGUGGGAGGCAAGUAUUGCCCUUCUGCUGCUCAGUGAAACCUUUCCAUUCCUAAUUAUUCCAUGUUGAGUAAUAUGUUACAAAAAGGGGAAACUAUUAUGUAUGUGCAGAUCCAAUUAAUUUCUUAAGAAAGUGGUCUGUCUCAUCUCCAAACAAAUGUUUUCUAAGGAAAGGAGAAGUAAGGUAAAUCGGAAAAUUCCUCUAUUAUGAACAAAUAGCCAUUGAAGUUUACAGUUCAGAAUCACUCUGGUACCCAACAUACUGCGGUAUUGACUUAUAUCUCCUUGGCUGAUGGAGAUAACCAUUCACAGGAAGACUUUGUUUUGCUUUUUGGAACUGAAGAGCUGUCAUUACGACAAAACAGCCACAAUGCUGUGCUGCUUGGGCAGAGCUAAUGGCCUGUCUGUAAUCAAGUUAUUCUGCUCAGCAAAGAGAGACACAAACACGUAUUUUGAAAGAGCAAAUGCUCACAGUAUUUACCACACUUCCAGCUGUCCUACACUCCAUGGGUCUUCCAGUCUCUGGUGAACCUGGGGUUUCAUUUGAUGCCUGCAGUGUAUUCUGUCAUAGACCUGCAUGUCUAUGUACAGCGUGCACAGGUUCCUCAGUAAGGAGUUCUUUCCUUCUGCAUCCUCACAGUCCUGUUCUAACUUAAUCCAAGUCCUAAAGAGAAAAUAGACAAAAGAAAGAGAGGAAAAAUUCAAAAAGGGAGCUCCUGGUAAGCAUAUGUCAGACAUAUUCCUUUGUAUCUCCUGUAGUGAAUCAGGUACCCAGCCCUUACGUAUAAAGAGCACUCUUUAUACUCUUCAUAAACAAGCAUCUUUCCCACAGGGCUCCACUAAGGCUCAGGUUGGAUUUCACCUCAUCCAUUCAAAUUUCUCUUCUGUUUUUCUUAUUACUAUAGCCUGCACAAUGGAAGAAGAUCAUGUACAGGAGUGAGAGUGCCACUGAAGGGAAGAGCUACUGGAGGUGUGACAAACUCAUCUCUAUUUCAAGGAAAUGGUGAAAUAAGAGCUCUGAGACAACUGAGAGACUUUAAGAGAUUGAGACUACAAGAAAACAAGGUAACUUCCUCCAACAAAAAGCAUCACAAUGUGGCUUUUCAGAAAGAAAAUUUCCAGCUUGAAGAUGUUCCAAAGCACAUUUUCUCCCAAGAGUGCUUGCUAAAGGAAAGAAAAUACAAAAGGAAGAAUAUUGCAAAAGAGAAGAAAAUCCACCUAACUCAAACCACAGCCAUUUUCUUGCCUGAUAAGUCCAAAGCCAGGUGGUUAGAAUAAAAGAUUGGUGUUUAUCUGUUAGAAGAUCUGGGGCUGAUUCAUUCUAUUUACUGCAGCAAGCUCACCUGUGAGGCUUUAUGCCUUGGGGAAAAAAAAGCUCAGCAGGGGUUAACUUCUUGUUGUGGGGGAAGAAAGGAGAGGUGAGAUUUGAGUUUUAAUUGAUGCAAGGGGAAAUCCCCUCUCUUUUAUAUACCUGGUUCAGA